rnacentral:tRNA from 1 species
GGGGAUUUAGCUCAGUGGUAGAGCACUUGCCUAACAGGCACAAGGCCCUGGGUUCGGUCCCCAGCUCCG